rnacentral:tRNA from 1 species
GGACCCGUGUGGAAAUCGGAUAUCCGGCUAGGCUUCGGACCUUGAGUUAGGAUAAUCCCUCAAAGAGGGUUCGAGUCCCUCCGGGUCCA